CUGGUUUUCUCAUGCUGAAGUCCAGCUGAAGCUAGGCUGAAAGGUUGGCAAGGGUACUGGAAGGAAAUUAAUGUUUGCUGGUAGGUACCCAAGAGGUGAUGAGCUCAGUGAGGUAACACUGAGUGUCACCAGAGCCACGGGGUGAACUUGACUUCCCCUGAGCUUCUGAACCACUGCAUCUGGAAGGCAGGGAAGGCUUUGCUGCGGGCACAGGCCUAUGAGGGCGGGCAGGGAGGGGAGUCCUGGCUCCCGAACUCCUCCUGCAUUGGCCUUGCUGGUAUAUGGGGCUGUAGGGCAUCGCUGGUGAGUGUGCGUCUACACCGUGGUCAGCAGUGGCACAUGGAGAAGGAGAAGUAGAGAUUAAAUUUGGGGCAACCUUCAGCCCUGACCUCCUAAUUCCACAUCCUGUCUUCCCUCGCACCUCAUUACUCAUUGGCCUGUCGAGCCUGGGCUCCAGCCUGCCAGAUUAAGGACGGCAAGUUUAUUUAAAAGGAAACAAAACAAAAACAUGCCAGUUUUCCUCAUUCCUGGCAGCCACUGAGAUGUCUCCCUGGGCAGGACCACACAGCGAGCAGGCGGUGGCAAGCCAACAAUUCCCUCACCCAUCCACAGCACCAUGGCAUCUGGGGGCUGCAGAGCAUUUUGGGGGCUGUCUUCUGUGAAGUCCCUCUGCUCCAAUCCCCGUUGGGACAAGCACUAUCCCCAGGUCCCCUCGGAUGGGCUUCUCAACACCUCCCUGGCUGCUGCUGGGAGUCUCGGUACUUCGCCCUGCUCCUGGGGUGGGAUGGGUGACCCCACACCCAAAGAACAGAGGUGUGAUUUUACUUUCCUUCUGCUCUGUCUGAAGGGACAGCCAGGCUCUUUUGGGGGCUUUCUGCCCUCAUUUCACUUCUUCUUUCCAGACUUGGGCUCAUGGGUGCUGCCCAGAAGAAUUUUUUUUUUUACUUCUGGUCCAAAAUGGGGAAAUUCUUAGGCAUAAAAUCCAGCUCAGCUGUGGCCCAUAAAGGACCUCAUACCGCUUAUGCUUUGUCAAGCAAUCAAGUUACAUGGUCUAACUGCAGAAAUGUAACAGAUAUAGUUUGUUUGGCUUUUAACUCACUAAAAAUGUUUAAACAUAAAAAGAGGCUUAGAACAUUUACAGUCAUAUUUGAAAUCAGAAUGUGUGAAAAAUGACUUUUCUUUUCAUAUUUGAACUCAUGCAAAACCUUUGCAGUCUCCACAAAGGCACGCAGAUGCAGCGAUGGGACCUCAUGAUGGAUUGUUGGUGUGAGCACAUGGACAUGAAACCAUGAACAGAGGAAUUUGCACAGGCCAGCAUUUGUGUUUCAUUCUGAAAGCCCAGCAGAAUCAGACCCCUAACUCUGGCUGGUGUUAAACAUGAAGGCAGCGUGCAGCUUUUCUCUUGCAUGGGUUCCCAUGUAGUACUGCUGACCUGCCUCACUGCAGCUACCCUGUUCAGGCCCUUGCAUGCCUUCAGGCUUUCCUUCCGAGAGUGCUUCUGAUGCCAGAGGGUUUUGGCAACAGUUGUAAUGUGCAUGAUUAUUUCCAGUGAAGAAACCAUUGGUGAUAACAGCAAUGAGGAGGUAUGCGGGUAUAAGCCACAGCUUGCUGAAGGCAUGAGACCAUUAGGGUAUGUAAGGAUAGGCUCCUGAUGCUGUCAGAGAGGAAGCGGCUCUGCACGUGAAAUAAUGUAGGGAAGGGAAUAUGCUAAACAUAGUUUAACUCCUGAGCUGCUCCCUGUGAAUAAAGUGUUUCCAAAAGCCUUCAGAUUUGGCUUGAGCUAGGUGCUCAUUCAGCUAAUGAAAACGUUACAUGCCCUCUGUCUAACCAACCUGAUGUAUUUGCUAAGCACUACAGCGAAAAGAGAUGCUUUUUGGUCACUUUUGUUGCCAUGUUCCCUGAUACCAAUGUUGACGUUAUAAACUCAAGCAGUAUUUUAAGUUGCUGUGAUCUUAAAAUUUUGUUUUCUUACGCAGCUGCCCAGGCCAGCUUACAUGCUGAUCAGGAUCUGCUGCAGCCUGGGAAUAAUCAGGCACCAGCUUCUUGGGCAGGUAAACUGCAUAAAAAGCAACAAAACAAACAGGACAAACCUGGAGUGGGCAUGUCCAGAAACCACGCCAUGGGAUUGCCGUGGGAGCAAUUCCCGUGAUGCUGGGCUGUUGGGUAGAACCUUCAACUGAGCUCUGGAUACGGUAGCGGCCAGCCAGGGCCGCACCUGAAGCACACAGGCAGUCCAGCAGCCGGAGCACAUAUGGGAGCACAGGGGGAAAGAAAAAACGUGGGGCUGCACAAAGCCUGCGAGUUCUUCCUUUUGGAAGCGGGCACGCACCCAGGAGGAGGGAGCAGGAACAAAGGCCAGGCACCGCGCACCCACCUCGUGCCACCACCAGGAGCCGGCCAGCGGAGCUGCAAGGACAGCAAGGACAGCAUGUCCCCAGCCCUUGCCCAGCGCAGCAAACAGCCCGGCUUGGAGAGGAGAAUCAUUAAAAAUAAUUUGCAGGAGCUUUCUGUUCAGUGAGCCCUUUUUUUUUUGAUACAAUAUUUCCUUCAGUGAUUAUCGCCACGGACAUGUUCUGCCAUAUGGAUGGAGCCGGGCGAGGAGGCGGCUCAAUACCUGAGUGGUUAAUUAAGAGCUGUUGCUGGGCCACAAGAAGCAGGUUUGAAAUCCCUCUUCACUCACCGACAAUGAGUAGCUUUUUUAGCAGCAGC
ensembl:lncRNA